GGGCCCGUAGUUCAACGGAUAGAGCACUUGGCUUCGAACCAAGAGAUCCGGGUUCGAUUCCUGGCGGGCCCACCA
rnacentral:tRNA from 1 species